CAAGCGGUGGAGCAUGUGGUUUAAUUCGAAGCAACGCGAAGAACCUUACCAGGUCUUGACAUCCUCUGACAACUCUAGAGAUAGAGCGUUCCCCUUCGGGGGACAGAGUGACAGGUGGUGCAUGGUUGUCGUCAGCUCGUGUCGUGAGAUGUUGGGUUAAGUCCCGCAACGAGCGCAACCCUCGCCUUUAGUUACCAUCAUUCAGUUGGGGACUCUAAAGGAACCGCCGGUGAUAAGCCGGAGGAAGGUGGGGAUGACGUCAAGUCCUCAUGGCCCUUACGCGCUGGGCUACACACGUGCUACAAUGGCGGUGACAGUGGGCAGCAAUCCCGCAAGGGCGAGCUAAUCUCCAAAAGCCGUCUCAGUUCGGAUUGUUCUCUGCAACUCGAGAGCAUGAAGGCGGAAUCGCUAGUAAUCGCGGAUCAGCAUGCCGCGGUGAAUACGUUCCCAGGCCUUGUACACACC
rnacentral:rRNA from 1 species